rnacentral:rRNA from 1 species
GGGUUGUGAGGUUAAGCGACUAAGCGUACACGGUGGAUGCCCUGGCAGUCAGAGGCGAUGAAGGACGUGCUAAUCUGCGAAAAGCGUCGGUAAGGUGAUAUGAACCGUUAUAGCCGGCGAUGUCCGAAUGGGGAAACCCAGUGCAAUUCGUUGCACUAUCGUUAACUGAAUACAUAGGUUAACGAGGCGAACCGGGGGAACUGAAACAUCUAAGUACCCCGAGGAAAAGAAAUCAACCGAGAUUCCCCCAGUAGCGGCGAGCGAACGGGGAGCAGCCCAGAGUCUGAAUCAGCUUGUGUGUUAGUGGAACGGUCUGGAAAGUCCGACGGUACAGGGUGAUAGUCCCGUACACCAAAAUGCACAGGUUGUGAACUCGAAGAGUAGGGCGGGACACGUGGUAUCCUGUCUGAAUAUGGGGGGACCAUCCUCCAAGGCUAAAUACUCCUGACUGACCGAUAGUGAACCAGUACCGUGAGGGAAAGGCGAAAAGAACCCCGGCGAGGGGAGUGAAAAAGAACCUGAAACCGUGUACGUACAAGCAGUGGGAGCACCUUCGGGUGUGACUGCGUACCUUUUGUAUAAUGGGUCAGCGACUUAUAUUCUGUAGCAAGGUUAACCGUAUAGGGGAGCCGCAGGGAAACCGAGUCUUAACUGGGCGUUAAGUUGCAGGGUAUAGACCCGAAACCCGGUGAUCUAGCCAUGGGCAGGUUGAAGGUUGGGUAACACUAACUGGAGGACCGAACCGACUAAUGUUGAAAAAUUAGCGGAUGACUUGUGGCUGGGGGUGAAAGGCCAAUCAAACCGGGAGAUAGCUGGUUCUCCCCGAAAGCUAUUUAGGUAGCGCCUCGUGAAUUCAUCUUCGGGGGUAGAGCACUGUUUCGGCUAGGGGGUCAUCCCGACUUACCAACCCGAUGCAAACUACGAAUACCGAAGAAUGUUAUCACGGGAGACACACGGCGGGUGCUAACGUCCGUCGUGAAGAGGGAAACAACCCAGACCGCCAGCUAAGGUCCCAAAGUCAUGGUUAAGUGGGAAACGAUGUGGGAAGGCACAGACAGCCGGAUGUUGGCUUAGAAGCAGCCAUCAUUUAAAGAAAGCGUAAUAGCUCACUGGUCGAGUCGGCCUGCGCGGAAGAUGUAACGGGGCUAAACCAUGCACCGAAGCUGCGGCAGCGACACUAUGUGUUGUUGGGUAGGGGAGCGUUCUGUAAGCCUGCGAAGGUGUGCUGUGAGGCAUGCUGGAGGUAUCAGAAGUGCGAAUGCUGACAUAAGUAACGAUAAAGCGGGUGAAAAGCCCGCUCGCCGGAAGACCAAGGGUUCCUGUCCAACGUUAAUCGGGGCAGGGUGAGUCGACCCCUAAGGCGAGGCCGAAAGGCGUAGUCGAUGGGAAACAGGUUAAUAUUCCUGUACUUGGUGUUACUGCGAAGGGGGGACGGAGAAGGCUAUGUUAGCCGGGCGACGGUUGUCCCGGUUUAAGCAUGUAGGCUGGUUGUCCAGGCAAAUCCGGAUAAUCAAGGCUGAGGUGUGAUGACGAGGCACUACGGUGCUGAAGUAACAAAUGCCCUGCUUCCAGGAAAAGCCUCUAAGCAUCAGGUAACAUUAAAUCGUACCCCAAACCGACACAGGUGGUCAGGUAGAGAAUACCAAGGCGCUUGAGAGAACUCGGGUGAAGGAACUAGGCAAAAUGGUGCCGUAACUUCGGGAGAAGGCACGCUGGUGUGUAGGUGAAGUCCCUGCGGAUGGAGCUGAGACCAGUCGAAGAUACCAGCUGGCUGCAACUGUUUAUUAAAAACACAGCACUGUGCAAACACGAAAGUGGACGUAUACGGUGUGACGCCUGCCCGGUGCCGGAAGGUUAAUUGAUGGGGUUAUCCGUAAGGAGAAGCUCUUGAUCGAAGCCCCGGUAAACGGCGGCCGUAACUAUAACGGUCCUAAGGUAGCGAAAUUCCUUGUCGGGUAAGUUCCGACCUGCACGAAUGGCGUAAUGAUGGCCAGGCUGUCUCCACCCGAGACUCAGUGAAAUUGAACUCGCUGUGAAGAUGCAGUGUACCCGCGGCAAGACGGAAAGACCCCGUGAACCUUUACUAUAGCUUGACACUGAACAUUGAGCCUUGAUGUGUAGGAUAGGUGGGAGGCUUUGAAGCGUGGACGCCAGUCUGCGUGGAGCCAACCUUGAAAUACCACCCUUUAAUGUUUGAUGUUCUAACGUUGGCCCCUUACCGGGGUUGCGGACAGUGUCUGGUGGGUAGUUUGACUGGGGCGGUCUCCUCCCAAAGCGUAACGGAGGAGCACGAAGGUUAGCUAAUCCUGGUCGGACAUCAGGAGGUUAGUGCAAUGGCAUAAGCUAGCUUGACUGCGAGCGUGACGGCGCGAGCAGGUGCGAAAGCAGGUCAUAGUGAUCCGGUGGUUCUGAAUGGAAGGGCCAUCGCUCAACGGAUAAAAGGUACUCCGGGGAUAACAGGCUGAUACCGCCCAAGAGUUCAUAUCGACGGCGGUGUUUGGCACCUCGAUGUCGGCUCAUCACAUCCUGGGGCUGAAGUAGGUCCCAAGGGUAUGGCUGUUCGCCAUUUAAAGUGGUACGCGAGCUGGGUUUAGAACGUCGUGAGACAGUUCGGUCCCUAUCUGCCGUGGGCGCUGGAGAAUUGAGGGGGGCUGCUCCUAGUACGAGAGGACCGGAGUGGACGCAUCACUGGUGUUCGGGUUGUCAUGCCAAUGGCACUGCCCGGUAGCUAAAUGCGGAAGAGAUAAGUGCUGAAAGCAUCUAAGCACGAAACUUGCCCCGAGAUGAGUUCUCCCUGAGACUUUAAGUCUCCUGAAGGAACGUUGAAGACGACGACGUUGAUAGGCCGGGUGUGUAAGCGCAGCGAUGCGUUGAGCUAACCGGUACUAAUGAACCGUGAGGCUUAACCUUACAACGCCGAAG